rnacentral:rRNA from 1 species
AACGAACGCUGGCGGCAUGCCUAACACAUGCAAGUCGAACGAGACCUUCGGGACUAGUGGCGCACGGGUGCGUAACGCGUGGGAACCUGCCCUUAGGUUCGGAAUAACUCCCCGAAAUGGGUGCUAAUACCGGAUAAUGUCUUCGGACCAAAGAUUUAUCGCCUUUGGAUGGGCCCGCGUUGUAUUAGCUAGUUGGUAGGGUAAAAGCCUACCACGGCGACGAUCCAUAGCUGGUCUGAGAGGAUGAUCAGCCACACUGGGACUGAGACACGGCCCAGACUCCUACGGGAGGCAGCAGUGGGGAAUAUUGGACAAUGGGCGAAAGCCUGAUCCAGCAAUGCCGCGUGAGUGAUGAAGGCCUUAGGGUUGUAAAGCUCUUUUACCCGGGAUGAUAAUGACAGUACCGGGAGAAUAAGCUCCGGCUAACUCCGUG